rnacentral:snRNA from 1 species
AAGUGUUAAACCUCUUUUAGAAUUUGUCUAGCACCUUUUCCAACUAAAACCCCC